rnacentral:pre_miRNA from 1 species
UGUCAUAUCAGGAAAUAUAAAUAAUUUCUGGGCAAUAUUUAGAAGGACUGCAAGCUGUUUUUAGGAUUGGCUAAAACUUAUUUACAAUACCCUGUUCAC